UUCAGGUGCCCAGGGCGGUGCCGAAUGGGACCGGGCUCUCCUUCCUGUGCGCGGGCGGACGGGGACAAUGGCUCCGACCUGGCCCAUGAAUCGCAGCCUGGGCUCGCCCUGCAAUCAGCUGUGCUGCUCACAGGAAACGAGCCACCUGCCCUGCUUCCUCUCAUUUAACUGGUUUAUUUUUAAGUGGAAAAGGCUGUGAGUUUUGUUCCUUUUUCUCAGGGACUUCAGGUCCCUGAAGGCUGCUGCAGAACAGUACAGGCAGCCUCGGGAGCCUGCCUGUGGGAACCACUUGCUGGUAUCUUCACGCAGCAGCACAGAACUAAAGCCAGGGCUAUCUGCAAGGUGUUCAUGGACCAAAAUACUGGGCACAGUGGCAGAAACUCCUGAAGUUAUCGGAGCCUCAUUCUGCCACGUUCACAAGGAGAGCAGUGGAAAAUGUAACUGAACAAAAAGGCAGGUCCUGGCACACUUCUGUAGCUGUGCUGUCCAAGGCUGCAUCUCUUGCUGCUGUUCGUGUGGUCCUGGUGAGCAGAGAGGCUCUCCAGCUGGGAGGCAGCACGACUGCCACCAGUUUGAUCUGGACUUUUGCUGACAUCUACAGUGAUAUCCCCUGUAAGACUGUCUCACUGUCCAGACGGUACCAUCCUGCUUUCCUGGAUUUUUCCUCUACAAAUCAGUUCUGUAAAACAUCAAGGUGGCCUAAUUAUUUUCUAUGCUUUGAAGAAAAGUGUUGUGUUUGUGCUCUUCCAUUCAGCCCCUGCAAUGCCUCCAGCCUGUACCACGUUGCUCCUUGUGAAGACAGCUGGCCUAACUCCAGCUGGGUGCUGUGGGUCCAGAUAUGUCACCUCCUGGGAAGCUCUUGUCAAAUGACACAGCUGAUGAGGACUUCAAACUCACCAUGCAGUGCUGUCCCAAGGAACAGAACACAAGAACAGGUAUAAGGAUCACCCUGGCAUCACAACGGAGAGAAACCUCUGGGGGUUCAGCACACCUUGGGGGUGAAUGUGGCAGCAAUGAGGGAAACGCACCUUCCCAGGCAUGAACAGGGACCGAGAGGACAUGUUGGGUAAAAUUGUUGCUGUUUUUCUUGUUUGCAGUCAAUCAGUAGCAAUAAAAUGCUAUUCUUCUCAGGGAAGCUUUUAAUU
rnacentral:lncRNA from 1 species